rnacentral:lncRNA from 1 species
ACUCACUGUGCAAAUGGAUUUGCCCGAAAUGCUGCUGAAGAAGACAGGUUGGCAUCGGGCUGGUGCUUUUCUGCUUCUACUUAAAUAGGAGAGGAUUUGGUCAAACUUGGUCCUUGGGACAAGGAGCUGUUUUGGACAAACGGUUUACGGAAGUGACUCAAGUCCAAAAUAGUGCGGCUGGGAACUAUUGGAAGAACACAGACGCUGCAAAGAAGCUGGAAACCAUCAUUCUCGGCAAACUAACACAAGAACAGAAAACCAAACACCGCAUGUUCUCACUCAUAAGUGGGAGUUGAACAAUGAGAACGCAUGGACGCAGGGAGGGGAACAUCACACACCGGGGCCUGUUGGGGGAUUGGGGACUAGGGGAGGGAUAGCAUUAGGAGAAAUACCUAAUGUUGAUGGGUGCAGGAGACCACCAUGGCACGUGCAUACCUAUGUAACAAAACUGCGUGUUCUGCACAUCUACCCCAGAACUUAAACUAUAAUUUUAAAAAACCCCAAAAGAGUGCAAUUUCAAUGCCAAAAAAAAAAAAAAAAAAAAAAGCUGAGCUUCAUCUAUUCCUUCCGCUCUUUCCUCCCUCACGCCUACCAUGUGUGAAGCACUGUACCCAACAUGAAGGACACAGACAGAAAAGCCUGACUCCGCAUCUCCCUGCUCGGGUUGCCUUGGCAACUUCUCCGUGUACCCAAAGAAGCAAAGGGGACUUAACAAUUUCAAAGAAGAGUGGCAGUAACUACUUUUUCUGUUCCGAGCUUUCUUGUAUAAAGUGAAGCACUGUGUGGCCUUUAAGAGUUCUAUUAAGGGCCGGGCAGGGUGGCUCAUGCCCGUAAAUCCCAGCACUUGAGGUCAAGAGUUCGAGACCAGCCUGGCUAACAUGGCAAAACCCCGUUUCUACUAAAAGUACAAAAAUUAGCCAAGUGUGGUCGUGGGCACCUGUAGUCCCAGCUACUUUGGAGGCUGAGACAGGAGAAUCACUUGAAUCCAGGAGGUGGAGGUUGCAGUGAGCUGAGAUUGUGUCACUGCACUCUAGCCUGGGCAACAGAAUGAGACUCUGUCUCAAAACCAAAUAGAAACAAAAAGAAUUCCAUGAAGGGAAUUAGGACCACUUUUUAAUUCAGUGUCUGCACACUAUCUCCUGACCACCUGGCUGCUGCUUUUCCUCCCUGCUUCCUGUCCUCCCUUCCUCUCUACCUUGCUCUACUCUCCUAUCCCUUCACUGGUGCUCCUUUUGUGUUUUAUCUCCUCUGCCAAUCAACAUGCAGGGCAAGGAAGCCAGGCAUAGCACCGGGCACUGGCCGGCCCUGCUGGUCGCUCUCAUGCCUGAAGCUCUGUGCUAAAACACCUAGUUUCCGGCAAUGUGCAGACGGUGGACACUCAGAGGUGGGGUGCGGCAGGAUUCAGACUUCUCAAGGACACCAUAGUGUGGCAAACACUAAGGAGUUCGCUGCCAGUGUCUUAGUCGGAGUAGGGCAAGGCUAUGGAGUAGGGUCCCUUCUAUUUGGAAAAGAGAAAAGUGCUUCUGAUGUUAUUUUUAUAUAAUGAUCCAGGCAGCUUGGUUUGACCAUCCAACACCUGCAGAGCCCAGCUCAGCAUUCAUGUCUUCAUUCCCCUCUGCUAUCUCUGGGGCAUAUCCAGUGUCCCUGAACCGUGAGUUCCCGGCUCACUCUCAGGUUUCUGCCGACUUUGGUGGGUCUAAGAUGAGACCUUUGGUAACCACAGAAACAAAGCUUCUCCCCAUGCUCAUGGCCUGAGGAAGCUUUGGAAAGGUGUUAUAUGGAUGUUUCAAAUGCUGUGUCAGACCAUUUUAAUCUACGCACCUCUUAUUAUUGUGUCUGAGCACAAUGUAUUGCAAUCCAGUGUUUAUCUCUCCUAUUGAAAUGGAGACAGCUAAAGGGUCUGCAUGAUGCUAACUGAAUUUUGUAUUCCCAGUGCCUAAGACAUAGUUGGUGCUCGAUAAUUGUUUGUUUCAGGGAUAAAUGAAUGAAAAAAAAAAUGAAUGAGUAAUCAUUAGCCUCAGCAAUACUUUGUUCCCAAAGUCACACACACACUCAUUUAUUUCCUCCUAAGAACAGAUGCUAGGCCAACAGGUCUUCAUGAUUUUACAAUCUCUAUGGUGACAGAUAAGACAUUAGGGUGCAUAUGAGGAAAAGAUAGGAGAUAGCAGGAUACGAAGGCCUAAAAAGGGGGAGAGGAAAUGGAGAAAAAGUGCCUACAGAUUCUAAUAACUGAGAGACAAUUUUUAGGAUUAUGGUCACAGUUUUAGUAGCAAGAAUAAAAAAAUGCAGAAUUCUACCCUUUCCUUGCCAAGAUUAGAUAAGGGCAAAAAUCCUUUAAUGGCAUUAAAGAGAAAGAGAAAAGAAAAAACUAGAGAGAGAGAGAGAGAGAAAGGGAGAGAAGGGGGGGGGAGAGAGAGAGAGAGAGAGAGAGAGAGAGAGAUUGCAUGGCCAGAGGUCUAACUCAAAUACUUGCAAUGUUCAGAUAAAAAACCCUCUUCCAUGCCAGACUCUGACAAUGGAUUCAUUCUUUCUUUCGUUCUUUCUUUUCUUUCUUUCCUUCUUUCUUUCUUUUUUCUCUUUCUUUCUCUCUUUCUUUCUCUUUCCUUUCUUCCUUCCUUUUUUCCUUUUUUCUUUCUUUCUCUCUUUCCUUUCUUUCUCUGUCUCUCCUUCCUCCCUCCUUCCUUCCUUCCCUUCCUUCCUUACUUCCAUCCUUUCUUCCUUCUUUCUCUUUCUUUCUUUCUUUUUUUCUCUCUCUCUUUCUCUCUUUCUUUCUCUCUUUCCUUUCUUCCUUCCUUUCUUUCCUUUUUUCUCUUUUUCUUUCUCUCUUUCCUUUCUUCCUUCCUUUCUUUCCUUUUUUCUUUCUUUCUCUCUCUCUCCUUCCUCCCUCCUUCCUUCCUCCCUUCCCUUCCUUCCUUCCAUCCUUUCUUCCUUCCUUCACUCCUUCCUUCCUUCUUUCUCUCUCUCUUUCAUUCUUUCUUUCCUUCUUUCUUUCUUUCUUUCCUUCUUUCUUUCUCUUCCUUCCUUUCUUUCCUUUUUUCUUUCUUUCUCUCUCUCUCUCCUUCCUCCCUCCUUCCUUCCUCCCUUCCCUUCCCUUCCUUCCUUCCUUCUAUCCUUCCUUCCUUCUCUCUCUCUCUCUUUCUUUCUUUCUUUCCUUCUGACAUGGGGUCUCACUCUGUUGUCUAGGCUGGAGUGCAGUGGCACAAUCUUAGCUCACUGCAAUCUCUGCCUCCCACAAGUGAUCUUCCAACCUCAGCCUCCCAGAUAGCUGGGUCCACAGGUGCACGCCACCACACCCUGCUAAUUUUUUGUAUUUUUGGUAGAGACAGGGUUUCACCAUGUUGGCCAGGCUGGUCUCAAACUCCUGAGCUAAAGCAAUCUGCCCAUCUCAGCCUCCCAGAGUGUUGGGAUUACAGGCGUGAGCCACCGCGCCCGGUCAGAUUCUGUUUUUCAUAGUGAGAGCUUCACAACAAACAGAUGUGUUUCCUUGGGAAGCAGUGUUCCUUCAGGCAGAUCUGUGCACUGGGCAGCUCUCCGUUUGCCGUCCUCUCAUCUUGACUUUCGUGAACUCUCUCCUUUUGCGUCCUGGACCCCACCCAGGGAACUGCUCACUGCCUUGCUGGCAGGUUUGCAAAUCACCCAUGACAAUAACUUACGUGUUUAUUACCCAGUGCUAUUGGCAUUUUCACUGGGGAACUCCAGCGCCCCGCAAGUCUUUCUGACCUCAAGAAUAAGGUUUUUAAUAGCCAAGUGUUAAGUGUGGUGGAAUGGGAAGGUGGAUAUUUUGGAAGAGGGAAUUUGCCUUGCGUCUUCCCAACUAUGCCCAAGAGCCCACUAGAUGGCUCAAGUUCUUUAUCCUGCUCUUUGCAAAUGGACUGUCGCAUGAUUCUAGGUCUAGAGGAAGCUGAUUGCUGCUACUGGAAGGGUCAGGCUUUGAAGGACAAGUGCGGGAGUGCUGGCUACUUUAUGGUACUCUAUGACUGGUGCACCCAUGUGCCCAUGGGGAGCAAUGACAGCUCCAAAAUCUCACAGGUUGGCACCUGUUACCAAUGUUGUCCCAUUUCCAUGCAGCUGGGAGACCCUCAGUGGGAAUGAUGAUUUCUUCUUGGUAUAACCUCAAGUCAGGCAUGUUGCUACCAAGAGCUCGCACAUUCAGAGGGCCCAUCCUGGAGGACAUUUGGGCCAUUUGUUUUGGGCCUUUGUUGCAACUAACACUUUUCAUAUUUUACCAACAUGGAGAAAGAGCAUUAUGAUAAUAAUGCCCUUUGGAAUUGAGAUUAGAUUAUAAGGAGUGAAAUCUAAAGCAUUGUGUGAAUUUAAAAUAUACAACAUUUUAGAAAAAUCCUUGGGUUAGAAUUAACUUAUGUUAGAAACUGGAGAUGCCUUAGAGUGCCUAUAUCAUCCUAAAAUUGUUCUUUUUAAAAUUCAGAACUGUGUUCCAGACAGUUUCUAACACCAAAUAAUCAAACUACUUUUUUUUUUUUUUCAUGACUAAAGUAGGAAAAAUUUGCACAAUGGGGCCCGUGUUCUUUUGAGCUCUAACCUGUGGUUCCAGAAUUCGGCUGUAAAAUAAUGUUUGCUGAAGUCGCUCCCCAGUGGCUAAAAUUGUGAUUGCAGAUUAUACCAAUGCAGAAUUUGUUGUAUGGUACUGAGUAAUUUUUAAUUACAAUUUUAAAUUACUUUCCCAGUUUAUUUUAAUGUUUCAAUAAAGUUUUUUUGAAAAAGGAAAAAGAGAGUCACUUUCUAGUCAAUGUGUUAUGUUUAACCAGAAGGCUAUUAUAAUUUUUAUAGACACAAAACAGUUCUGAAUAAUGCCAUGAAACGAAUAUGUCUUUGUGCAGAUCUUAUG